rnacentral:rRNA from 1 species
CUUGACUCUAGUCCGACUUUGUGAAGAGACAUAGGAGGUGUAGCAUAGGUGGGAGCUUCGCGGCACAAUUGAAAUACCACUACUUUUAUCGUUUCUUUACUUAUUCAGUGAAGCGGAGAGCGGCGUGCAAGCGCCUCCUUUCUGGACUCAAGCGCCACCGACGGCCCCCCAACCCCCCUCCGCGGGGGGCGGGGGUCGGGCGCGAUCCGCUCUGAAGACAGUGUCAGGCGGGGAGUUUGACUGGGGCGGUACAUCUGUCAAAAGGUAACGCAGGUGUCCUAAGGUGAGCUCAGUGAGAACGGAAAUCUCACGUAGAGCAAAAGGGCAAAAGCUCACUUGAUCUCGAUUUUCAGUACGAAUACGGACCGUGAAAGCGUGGCCUAUCGAUCCUUUUGACUUUACGAGUUUUAAGCAAGAGGUGUCAGAAAAGUUACCACAGGGA